UUAUCGGAGAGUUUGAUCCUGGCUCAGGACGAACGCUGGCGGCGUGCCUAAUACAUGCAAGUCGAGCGGACAGAUGGGAGCUUGCUCCCUGAUGUUAGCGGCGGACGGGUGAGUAACACGUGGGUAACCUGCCUGUAAGACU
rnacentral:rRNA from 1 species